rnacentral:rRNA from 1 species
ACGUCAAGUCAUCAUGGCCCUUAUGUCCAGGGCGGACACACGUGCUACAAUGGCCGGCACAGCGGGAAGCGGAGGGGCGACCCUGAGCGGAUCCCUUGAAAGCCGGUCCCAGUUCGGAUUGCAGUCUGCAACUCGACUGCAUGAAGUUGGAAUCGCUAGUAAUCGCGGAUCAGCCAAGCCGCGGUGAAUACGUUCCCGGGCCUU